ACCACUGUUUCACUCCUUCUUGUUAUAUUCAUUUUUAAGGCUGGCCAAAUAUCUAUGUAGGAGAAAAGAUUAAACAAAAUUCAUCGAGAGGUCCCGCAUUUGGUUCCCAGCACCUACAUCUCAUGACUCACAACAAUCUGUAACUGAAGUUCUUGGGGAUCGGAUGACUCUUCUAGCAUUCACAGGCACCCACAUGCAUGUGCUAUACAUGCUGAUGCUCAGAUAGACUUUGACAAGGAGACAUCUGGGCCUGCUGCAUGUCAUCAUAAACCACAUUUCUACUCCAAUUAUUUCACAUCAUAGACCAGCAUCACUCAGAAUUCAAAUGCCAUGAAGGAGAAGAGAAUACCGUAAUCAUCAGUGGUUGACCUGAUAUUGUGAAAUUCUGAGUUAUAUAAAGAUAAAUGCUAAAGUCAUA